AGAGUUUGAUCAUGGCUCAGGACGAACGCUGGCGGCGUGCUUAACACAUGCAAGUCGAGCGGAAAGGCCCUUCGGGGUACUCGAGCGGCGAACGGGUGAGUAACACGUGAGUAACCUGCCCCCGACUCUGGGAUAAGCCCGGGAAACUGGGUCUAAUACCGGAUAUGACCACUUCCCGCAUGGGAUGGUGGUGGAAAGUUGUUUCGGUUGGGGAUGGACUCGCGGCCUAUCAGCUUGUUGGUGGGGUAACGGCCUACCAAGGCGACGACGGGUAGCCGGCCUGAGAGGGCGACCGGCCACACUGGGACUGAGACACGGCCCAGACUCCUACGGGAGGCAGCAGUGGGGAAUAUUGCGCAAUGGGCGAAAGCCUGACGCAGCGACGCCGCGUGGGGGAUGACGGCCUUCGGGUUGUAAACCUCUUUCAGCAGGGACGAAGUUGACGUGUACCUGCAGAAGAAGCGCCGGCUAACUACGUGCCAGCAGCCGCGGUA
rnacentral:rRNA from 1 species